UCAGAGGGCCGGAGCCACCUGCCAAUUAGGUUUGAUGGUCUUCAGCUGUCCUUGUGAGUAAUCCCCUAGUACUACGAGGCUCAUCAAUUAAGGCUCGACCUUUUCCAGCUGCGGGUGCCAUCCGGCCUGCCUUUGGCAAAGAAGGAGCAUUCAGGUUGAGUCAGGGAGGUAACGAGGAGGUCCUGGGGUCUCCCUUACUUUCAGAAACACCACGUAACUUUUUUUCUCACUCACCCAGGUACAGCAGACGGUGACGGCAGCAGCCUCCAACUCGGGUUGGAGCCAGUGGCCCCAGAACCUCUCAGCUCAGGGGAGGCCGAGCGAGUCAGGGAUCGCACGACCCUGUGAGCCAGCCAGGCAUCCUUCCUUUGCAUCGAAGAUGGAUUCACAUCCCCGACUAUGGGAAAGAUAAGUGGAGGACAACCACCUGGAGAGGGGAUGAGAGCUGGGUCCAGUUUUAUGGUUAGGAGGGAGGGAUUUUCAAAUGAGCAGAGGGGAAAGGGUCUGCCCUAACAGGCCCUUGGCACACAUAGGAGGAGCAGUUUACUUUUCAUCACUGGAGUAGGAUGUGCAGGGCAGAGCCGUUCAGGUCUGUGUCAUGUCCUUUGUCCAGUCUGUGUUUCGUGUCUUACAAUUCAUAAUCACCAUGUCUUUGCUUUCUGCCCUCGAAGUUCUUAUCUGAGAUGUCAAGGCAUCAUUCCUAGGGUCUUGAACCUUUGCACUGCCCAGCCCAGUGCCCAUACCAUCCGUUCUUUGGCUCGCUAGCUUGGAUGUGCAUCAGAAUUGCAUCUGAGAAGUGUCAGGUCAGGUGUCUUUUACAGCCUCCUUACAGUUUGUAUCGGUGACCAUGCCGUGCAGUCAUCCCUUGUAACCGCCCAGGACUUGUGAGAAUCCAAGAAGAUUCUGAACAUAGCAUUGUCUCCCAUCCAUCUUAGCAAUUUUGUAGGCAGUUCUUGUCCCAGGCCAUUCUGUUAGAGUGUCUUUUCAGGCUCCUCAGAGCCUCCUCCGUUCAGUCUUACCGUAUCCUCCGUCUUCUCGUGCGGCAGCACAUCCAUUUUGGCGUCGUUCCUUUCUCAGAGUUCUCUCUCCUGGUUGCACCACAGCACUUGUCUGGAAAUGUGUCCUUGGAGUUUGUGUUGGGCCUGGAACUGCUCUGCCCUGCUGUGUAGAGUUGGGGGUAGGUGGAGUAGAAAGGAGACUUUCCAGUUACCCUGUGGAUAGGCUCAGCCACUCAGGGCAGCAGUUCUCCAGUCCUCCUGGAGGCAGCCCCUGCCUGCAGUGUGUGUGCAGUCACGAGAGCGGGCUUGUCCAGAGCCAAUGGGAGCGGUACAGCAGGACCUUAAAGUUAGGUCAGUGUUUGUUUGUGCAGGUUGUCUUUGGACCCCAGAGGGCUUGUCUAAGGAGAAAUGAGAAUUGCACAGCAGUUAAGGUCUCUCCAUCUAUAUGGCUGACUUUGGUAACUCAUUUCUUUGCAGCGUCAGAGGGACUGGAUGUAAAGCAGAGAAGAACAGAAGAGACUGGAGGAGCACAGUCAGAAGGAUGCAGAGCCCUCAGCCCAGCAGACGAUAGGCACCAGAGGGAAGGUGAGCCCGGUGAGGAAGGCAGUGCACAGACUUCUAACGUGCAGUCCAACGUGACAGGGACCCUGCCUGAGAUGUAGGCAGCCUCAGAUGGCCGAACACAACUCACAGUGAGGUGCCAUCCAGCUAACCUUUGGGAGCAGAUGAGCAUUGGAGGAGAUGACAGCAC